UACGUAGGGGGGCAAGCGUUGUCCGGAAUCAUUGGGCGUAAAGAGCGCGUAGGCGGUCCGGUAAGUCCGCUGUGAAAGCCCGGAGCUCAACUCCGGAGGGUCGGUGGAUACUGCCAGUCUUGAAGGUGCUAGGGGGAGAUGGAAUUACCGGUGUAGCGGUGAAAUGCGUAGAUAUCGGUAGGAACACCAGUGGCGAAGGCGGUCUCCUGGGGCAUUCUUGACGCUGAGGCGCGAAAGCUGGGGGAGCGAACGGG
rnacentral:rRNA from 1 species